GAUCCGGGGCAGGCUCAGGACCAAGUCCCUCUCCUUCCACCAAGGAGCGCCCAGAGGCCGGCGGGAGCUCCAGGUUCACCUCCUCCUCCUCCAGGAAAUCCCACUUCCAACUGGAUGUCUGGAUGAACUACUGAAAGCUGCUGAGUGUCCUGCAGCAGGCCAUUUCCAAUCCAGCGGAAGACCUUCUAGAAGAGAUGAUGGUGGGAGAGUGCUGACAUACUAUGUGAAGCUACUAUUUGGAGUUGGACACGAGUGCAUGUGUCCUUGUGCCACAACGGGAAUGUGAGCUGGAUGACAAAUGGAGAUUUGGACUUGUGAUAAUUGGCCUCUGUGUCAUUGUGUGGAAGACUGACUGGUCCCUUUAUUUCCUGUAGCUUGACUACAACACAAAUGAAUCCACUCAAAUGUUGGCAAGUGGAGCAGAGUCCCAGAACAGGUAAGGCACUUUCCCUGCUUUUUCUUAAGAUCAAUCCUCAUGCCUACAAAUUAAAGUCACAUCCCACACGAUCAUUAAAGUAGAGAGUGCAUUCUGCAGGAUGAGUGAAAAGGCAUUUAUGAUUCUUGGGGGCAGAUGUUCUACAGUUGCCUGUGCUAGUUCAUGUCUUUCUGCAGAUCACAUUCUUAACCUCUAGAGAGUCUGGCAGGACCAGAGCCUUACCUUUCCCAGUCUGCAAUCUCUACAGGUACAGAAACACCCCCAGUUCAAGGAUCUUCACACCUGGAUUUAGGCCUACUCCUGCAACUACCCCAGGUAAGUUUCCUUGUUCUUCAAUGGCAAAGUUUGGACAAUGCUGUUCAAACUCCAGGCAACAAGCAACAUCUAGGGAAUGUGCUUUUAGGUAGGGUCAGCAUAAUAUCCCACCCUGGGAGACAUUUUUAUUUUAAAGUUGUAGAGGGUGUUGCUGCUGUCGGCUCCCUGCCAAUCAGCACCAUUUGCAGCCUCUUUUGAAGACAGAGAACUGAGGGCUGUCCUUCGAAUGGAGCAGUGUGAUUCCAAAAAAAGAGAUGCUCCUUGUGGUCCUGGGACCAGGGAUAGGACUCCAGUUGAGCCUGGUGGAAGAGGUCCUUGUCCUACCCCAACGGAGAGCCAUGCAGCUGAGCUUGGGCGAUGUGGUCCACGUGGUUGUUUCUGAGUGUGUCCUGAGGUUGCAGGAUGGCUUGCAGUUCCCUAUGCAGAUCCAAUGCAUCUUUUGCUUUUUUGCUUCUACAACCUGGAAUUUAUAUGUUCAAGAUGGAGCCAUCCCAGCCAUGACAACAGAGAAUGUACCACUCUCACUUGAGGAAGAGGGGUAGGCAGUGCUCCUGUAUCACCAGCCCUUAAUGAGACCCUGAGGAAACCACAUCAUGGAGAUCAGCCCUUCUCUCCUGUAAGGAACUCAUCCUAUGAAAGAGCAAUUAGUGCCUGCAAGAGCUGUCUCUGGGACAGCGGUUCAUGUCUAUAUCUGCAGGGUAACCCUCAUAGUCAUAUGCAGUCAUAUCCAUAGUCAUAUCGGGAGUCAGAUUCCAGUUUGACUGAGUGAGUGGAGAAACUAAACAUUUAUUACUGAAUAAUAACAUUAAUAAACCAUCUUAAUGAUAGUAAUAAUAAACAUAUUGAUGAGUAUUAACAGGAAUGAUGAUGAUUAUUAUGAUACUAAUAUCCAUAAUUAACAAUUUUAAUAUUGAUAAUAAUACAACCCUGUGGACUUGGGACCUAAACAGCAGUUUCCCCUUACAAUUAUCCCAUAUUUGGCCACAGGGGGUAAUGUUGAGUUCCAGAAGGCAAGGAUUAACAUUCAGAAAAUAGGAAAAACAACCUGCAGGUAAGCAUGUGCACACAUUGGGACUCUAUGGAUAAAUACUAAAGUGACUCUUGUUCUGGAUCUCCAUGCUAACAAACAUGCACCAGCUUUCAGGAGGUAGUACAGCUGGCUGAUGGGGCAAGGCUUCUUGAGGACAUGGCAGGAGUCAGAAAUCACACAUGCUGCCCAGCAGCAGAGCUCAUGACAAACAGUAAACCCCAGCGAAAGGACCUGGCUGCCCUUUCUGCCAUCUGCUCUCCCAUGACCUCUCUUGACUGGUACAUCUAGGCACUGGAAUAACCUUCACUGGCUAUAGGAGGGCAUAAUCCUCAGUAUUCUCCCACCUGCAAGAAAGACAAAAAUUAAUUGAAUACCAUGGCUUCUGGGUAUCCUUAGUGGGCUUAGCGUAUUUUGCAUUUGCUUUAACAGGCCAGUUAUCCAGGCAGUGACUUUCAGUGCAGCUACAGUCACCUCUGGAAACCUGUGGAGACUUUAAAAAUUUCCAAAAGGUCAGGAAUUUUUGGAGACCUUUCUCAUGGCUACGUUUCCUGCAAACGUGAAUCAAUAAGCUUCUGAACUGACUUAGAAAAUGUUGCAGAGACUCUUGUGAACAGAUAGACCCUCUCCUGCCACUCAGAUAGAUGUAUCUGGGUCACACACACCUGAUUUAACAUCUCAUUAUCUCAGGUGGGCAACAGACAGCAAUUUAGGACCUAUCCCAGUGUGGAUGAAAGACAUUGAGUUGGCUUAGAAAAAUGUUAGAUAGACUAGAUGGGGCAAGAAAGCCCAUUCUGGGGCUCAAAAGCCUUCACAUAGAGUUGCUGACACAUAAAGGGUAUGUAUAAAUUCUUUCUCAGACCAUGAGAUCAGGAUGUACUUCAUCAGUAUACCAUGCUGGUAUAAAGAGAUUCUUGCCUCCAAAGGGACUCAGAAUAUUUCAGGGAACCUGUAUUAGUCCAUUUUUACACUGUUGUAAAGACAC
ensembl:lncRNA FAM66D family with sequence similarity 66 member D